GCAUGUAUACACACUAAGAAAAGUGGACGGUACUUAGGAAAUCCCAUUCUACCUUGCUCAUACUUCCUGGGCUGUGUGGCUCUUUCACCAACACAGCCUUGACUCCUGAAUAGAGUGGCUUGCUCGUUUCACCCAUUCCCACUGUAGCGCGUUUCUUGUGUCCAUUCAUGAUCUCAGCACUCACUGCUCGGCUAGUGGCUUCUGCUUCUUGCAGGUCAUCUCCAAAGUGUGCUACACCCCACCUCCCAAAUAUCCCCCUGCCCACGUGGCUGAGCCCCACCUGCACCAAGAGGUAGUCCAUCACUAAUAUUCCUGUGUUGACUUCUUUCUCAUCUCGCUUCCUUGUCCUGUUCUCAGGAGUUCAUGGUAUGUCCUCAUAACUACUUAGAUUUGCUAACAAUUACCUAGAUGGUUUGCUUCUAAGAUAGCACAACCUAAAACUUCCACAAAUAAGAUGAAUUAACAAAAGAAGGAGAAUGUAAGUAUCGAAUCAAACUAGCAGGAGAGCAAGGAUGUGUGCACAUUAGAAAGUUGAAACAGAAGGUAUGGGCUGGUCAUUGGCAGCUCUCCAGUCUCAGUGUGCUUAAGUUCAAAUACACUUGCAAAUCUCUAGACAGGACCCUAAACCACCCAUACAGUCACUGUACCCUUUCUGCAAACGUCAUUGCCACACAAGCCAGGCAGCAUCUCUAUAUAUCAGCUGGUACCCAUAAAAUAGUGUUUUUUCUCUUCCUUAAAAGUCUACCUCCUCCUGACAUUCUUGAACCAGAAACCCUGAACCUGGAAAAUUGGGUGGCUCUUUUACUUUCCCCAACACAUCAGCCAACAACAACAACAACAAAAAAAAUUAAUGGGACUGAUUCUGACCCAAAGCUUUUGAACCAGGCUAACAAGGUCAAGCAGCAAUUCCACUGCUAAGCAUGGCUCUGUCUCUGGGAGUUCUCUUAUCUGUAAAGCAGGAGUGGGGGGAGGGACUGGUAAGGCUAACUAACAAUGGCUUGGUGACUAAACAAUACAGCUAUGCAAAACUGUGUGCUGCCCGCUGUUCUUACCUUAGCCUCCCUCCUGCCCACUCUGGGCUUCCUACCACUCUGUCCUGGUGGCAGGCUCUCUUCAGCUAGGGAUUAUAGAAGCAGGACUCCCUCCCCUUUCAUCAUGAAAGACUGACUGGCUUACAGUCUGUCUUUGAACCACCUAGAAGAGAGAAUGCUGUGUUCUCAGAACAAGAGCGCUAACUAAUCCUAAGGAAAGUGGCCUUGGGAACAGAAUCAAGAGCCGCAGAAAACACAAGAGAAAAGCUAUUGUGAUGGGUUUUAAAGCUUCCUGGAAGAUGAUUCAUGGUCUCUGCUUCCAAUUUAAAUUUUAACUGUCGUUUCCUAAAGAUCUUUAAGAAAUGAUGUCAUUUGUCCCCAGUUUUGUAAUCGGGCAGGUCAAGCUCCCGGUGGAAAUCCAAUGGAAAUGAACAUGAUAAUGGUUUUGAAAUAUGACCACCACAAAGCCUACAUCCCUCUGCACUGCACAGAGAGGAAGAAGCCAUAUUUUAUCCUACAGAAGCACAUCUAGCACAGCUAUGUGCUUGAAUGUACACCACCUGUGUCCAGAAGCCUGUUGAGGUUAGAAGAGGGCAUGGAUGUCCUGAUGCUACACUUACAGGCAGAAAGCGAUGGGCAUGCUGUCUUGUACAGGAGCUCUUCAUCACUACGAAAGUCCUGAAUAGAUCCUGGCUGCUGGCACACUCACCACUGUCACUGUCCACCCAGACCCUGUCAAAAGGCAUUGAAGUCCUCUGCUGACAGGACUUUACAGACUCCAACCGAGGCAGAUCUGAAGGGACACGGUUUUGUGACAUCAUCCCACACACCAGUCAGGUACAGUACUUUAAAGGAGGUAAGUGUAGUAUAGAACACUUAGAAGUCAGAGCACCCCUCAGUCUGAACCUGAAGACGAUCACAUGAUCACUCCAGUGAGGAUGCUGGUGAAGAUCCUGGCUUUAAUCUGCUAACCAACCUUUGGAAAUUUUCCUCUGGGGCUUAUCUUCCAUUUAUAUCUCUAAUGGGUUAGACACGUUGCUGUUAUACGAUGCUCUGAAGCUUUAAAACUCAAUAUAAAUAUAAAGGUAGGUAUUUCUCACUGGGUUCAAUGGUAAUUGACCUUCAUUGGUCAUCCAGAAGAAUGGGCUGAGCUGAGCUACACAACCAUAUGCAUUUUUUUGUAGACCAAAUACCUGAGGCUAAAGGAUUUAUAAACAAGGAGGUGUUCUUUAGAUCACAGUAGUGGAGUUCAAAGGCAUAGGAAGGAGUCAUGUUGAAAACACCCAUCUUUAAUUGUGUCCCUGUGGGAUCACAUCCCAGCCUCUCUCGUGAGUCCUAUGGCAGAAACCAAUGCACUAGUGACCACAACUGACCUCAGCUGCCCCAGAACACUAGUGGAAAAUGUGUCCCACAAGAACACACUUGUACAGUAAUGGAUCCGGUUUCAGAGCACCCAACUCACAGGCACACUUCACCCACCUUUCCAAGAAAAAUAGUCAUGUACUUAUGGGAGCAGAGACCCUAUAACACAGUCAUCUCUUAACACCAUGGUACAAGCAAUCACAGUACACGGGAUAAUGGGGAGGGAACAGACCACAUCUGGAGGACUCAGAGAACUGAACCAGCUACUGGCCUAUCACUCAGAUAAUUGGUUGGUGAGAUCCACACUACUGUGUGUACUUAGACUUAGAGUAAAGACUUAGGAGUCUUUAAUGAGAAAAUUCCCAAGUCCCAGGUAGGAGAAUAAGAGCUACUGUCACAGGGCAAGAACCCAGCUAUGAAGUGUGUUUAUACAAAAUAGACAUCAUGGGUGUUUGCACAGAGAACAGAGAACAAAUAUCCCAUAGCUUAAGCUCCUCAAUGAAAUUGCAUAGGGCCCUGUAUUUUUCACACUGCUGGGACCAAAUGUCUGACAAAAAGGCAACUUAAAAAUGGUGGAUUUGUUUUGGUUCACAGUUCAAGGGUAUGAUUCAUCCAGGGGCAGCAGGAGGUCAGAGCACUGUUAACACAGCAUCUGUACUCAGACAGCCCAGAGAGAUGAACACACCCCUCAGCUCAACAUCCUCCUUUUAUUCAGCCCAGGAGACACCAUGCCUGCCCACUCACCCACCCUCACCACAGCCAUAACUGUCCAUGGAGAAUGAAUCAGCUUCAAUUAACCUAAUCCAGAUCAUCUCUCACAGGCAUGCCCAGGCGUUUGUCUCCUAGGUGAUUCUAGAUCCCAGAGAGUUGACAAUGUGAACCAUCCCAAGUCCCUAAUGUGGACACACCCCAAUACUAAGGCCACAUCCUCAAUACUAAAGGUGCUUCUUACUAUUAAUCCUUCUUUAAGCUCUAAAGCAGUAGAUGCUACAACGCCCGUUUCCAUAGAGGUGGGCAGAGGAUAAGGGUGGCAGGGAAUGGGAAGUGAAGCCCAGGAAGGUUUAAUGAUUUACCAUGGGCAAACAUGUAGUAAAACAGAACUUGAACCCACACCAUAUUCCAUAGUUGAUUCUUUCAGCUUUACAACCUCUUGCCUCCUGUUCAAUGCAUUAUGUGCUUCUGGAAAAUGACAGGGCUCAGUCAUUCUCUCCCGGGCUUUGCUAAUUUAGAUUUCACAGCCAACUCUGCUGCUGCUACAAUGUGAUUCAGAUGCUUCUCCCCAGCUGAAGACUUCAGUGGGGGUCUUAGGGUUUCCAUUGCUGUGA
rnacentral:sRNA from 1 species